rnacentral:RNase_P_RNA from 1 species
GAAGCAGGCCAGACAGCCGCUGCCCGCCUCUGGCGGGGGGAGGAAAGUCCGGGCUCCAUCGGGCAGAAUGCCGGCUAACGGCCGGGCGCCGCGAGGCGACGGAAAGUGCAACAGAGAGCUGAACCGCCGAUGGCUCAUUACUUCGGUAGUGGGAUCAGGCAAGGGUGAAAAGGUGUACCUCGCAAGAGGAGCAGGCGCAAGCCUGUCGGUAAGAGCGCACCGCGGACGUGGCAACACGGACGGCAGGGUAAACCCCAUUCGGAGCAAGACCAAGCAGCAAGCGUUGACGUGGCCCACCGAGCUUGCGGGUGUGUUGCUGGAGCCCAGUGGCAACACUGGGCCUAGAGGAAUGGCUGUCACGGCGGGUAACCGCCGCACAGAACCCGGCUUACCGGCCGGCUUCGCAU